GAAGCAGGCCAGACUGCCGCUGCUUUCCGUCAAGGAAAGGAGAGGAAAGUCCGGGCUCCACAGAGCAGGGUGCCGGGUAACGCCCGGCCGCCAUACGCUGACGGUUCAACCGCAGCCAAAGCGAGGAACAGGGCCACAGAGACGAGUCGCCGUCCGCAUCCGUGCGGCGGCGGGUGAAACGCGGUAACCUCCACCCGGAGCAACGCCAAAUAGGCAGACGAUGACGCGGCUCGCGUAGUCUGCGGGUAGGCGGCUUGAGCGCGUCAGUGAUGACGCGCCUAGAGGAAUGGCAGUCACGUCUCGCCGGAAAUGCGUUUUCGGCAAGACGACAGAACCCGGCUUAUCGGCCUUGCUUCGCUU
rnacentral:RNase_P_RNA from 1 species